rnacentral:lncRNA from 1 species
GGGUAAAAAGGAUCGGAAUUGAGUCGAUUUGUUUCGGAAUGGAAAACGGAGUUGUCGAGGUUGGUGACGUGUUGAUCGGUGAGUGGUUUAUGGGGAGUGUCGUCGGGGAGAGAGGGGGAGGGGUGGGUUUUGAGGAAGUGUUCGAGGGAGGUGACGAAGGAAGUGUGGGAAGUAGUAGGGAGGUGGAAGUGGGUGGAGGAAGGGGAGGUAGUGCGGAGAGGAGAGAGAGAAGAGAGGAAGAUGAGGAGAGAGAAACCGAGGAGAGAGAGGGAUAAGAGGAUGAUUCGGGAUUUUGAUCUUGAGAUCUGCUUUCCUGCCAUUUUUGAAAGAUCAAUUGCUGUGUUGCGUCUACUGGGGGGGACAGUUAAAGUAGGAAGAACGAUGGUCUUUGCCCUCCUUUCUUACACAAUUUGCUGUGAUUGAUCCGUUAAAAUAGUUAUUUUUUUUAUAUUUUUUUUAGGAAUAUGAUAAUAAGUAAAUAUUUAUAAAGAUCGAUAAAAAAGUGUUUAAUACGAUGAACUAUUUUAAUACGAUGAACUAUUUUAAUUAAUGAAGUGCACAUUCAAAAAUUAUUGUACUAUUCAUUACAGACCGGUGCUAGUCACACCAAAAAAAAAACAAGUUACACUUCAGAAUGACUAAUAUACCCCUAAGUUGAACAUAAAUAAACUAAAUUUACAUUAACCUAAAUUGAACAUAAGUAAACUUAAUUUACAUAGUAAACUUAAUUUACAUUAACUGAACAUAAGUAAACUUAAUUUACAUUAACCUAGAUUGAGUAAACUGAAUUUACAAUAACCUUUUAUAUCUAGAUUGAACAUAAGUAAACUAAAUUUACAUUAACCUAAAUUGAACAUAAGUAAACUUAAUUUACAUUGACAUAAGUAAAUUAAAUUUACAUUAACCUAAAUUGAACAUAAGUAAACUGAAUUUACAUUAACCUAGAUUGAACAUAAGUAAACUGAAUUUACAUUAAUCUAGAUUGAAUAAGUAAACUUAAUUUGCAUUAACCUAGAUUGAGUAAACUGAGUUUACACUAACCUCUUAUAUACAUGUAAACUGAAUUUACAUUAACCUAGAUUGAACGUAAAGUAAACUAAAUUUACAUUAACCUAGAUUGAACAUAAUAAGUAAACUUAAUUUACAUUGACAUAAGUAAAUUAAAUUUACAUUAACCUAAAUUGAACAUAAGUAAACUUAAUUUACACUAACCUAAAUUGAACAUAUCUCAUACCAAAACAAACAAUAAACAAAUAGAAACUCAUUGAAAAUGAAAUUCAUGAAAUUCACUAACCUUUAUGAAUAUAGUACAGAUCAAUAACAGAGAUGUUGAUUCAGAUAUUGGUUGCGUGAUUUGUGGAUGAAAGAGGGUAAGGGUUCAGAAUAAUCAUAAAAGAUGGGUUUUUAAAAAUUUACAUGAAGAGGGCAAUUUUGGUAUUAUUGUAAAAUUUUAAAUAAAUUUAGAUGUAACUAGUUUUUUUUGGGGUGUGACUAGCACCGGUCUUCAUUACACAUUCAUAUCUAAAAUGAUUUUUACUUUUUAACAAAUUAUUGAUAUCAUAAUUCAUAAACAACACUACAAUAUAUCAAUUCUGUUAAGGCGAAAAGGAUCUAAGAUGUAGAAGCACUUGUGUGUAAUGCUGCUAAAGAAGCAUAGUCACCACCCUUAUGUAGCAAUGCCUCAUGUUUUCCUUUCUCUGAUAUCACACCAUUCUUAACGACUGCAAUUAAAUCUGCACCCUUUAUAGUCGAUAACCUAUGAGCUACUAUUAUUGUUGUUCGGUCCACCAUAACACAGUCAAGUGCAUCUUGCACCACUUUUUCAGACUCAGCAUCAAGUGCACUAGUUGCUUCAUCUAGUAAUAGUAUUUUCGGAUUCUUCACCAACGCUCUUGCAAUUGCCACCCGCUGCUUCUGUCCCCCGGAUAAUUGAAUUCCUCUCUCGCCUACUAUCGUGUCAUAGCCCUGCAUAUAUAGUACCAUGCUCAAGAUUUUGGACCUAUGUAUGUAUGUAUGUUUCAAUUUUAAAGAUUCAACUGAAAGGAAUUUACCUUCUGCAAACUACUAAUGAACUGGUGAGCAUUUGCUAGUUCUGCCGCGGCUACAAUUUCUGCUUCUGUUGCAUCUCCUCCUUUUCCGUAUGCAAUAUUGGCUCGGACUGUGUCAUUGAAAAGAACAGGCUCUUGGCUUACUAGCCCCAUUUGUUGUCUCAGCCAUUUCAGUUGAAGCCUUUGAAUUUCUUUUCCAUCAAGAGUUAUGUGUCCUAAGUUAGGGUCAUAAAAUCUUUGUAAUAAGGACAUCACUGUUGAUUUUCCACUUCCACUUUCUCCAACCAGGGCAACCGUCUGUUUUUCGUAUCAAUAUGAUUGAUUUUUUUAGUUAAGGAAUAAGGAAAACAAUUUAGAGUAGUCUACUGGAUAAGAUGUGAAAUAAGAAACUACCUUGCCGCUAUGAAUGUUCAAGCAAAGAUCUUUGAAUAUUUGAACAUCAGGUCUAGUAGGAUACUUGAAACUAACAUGGUUAAACUCAAUUUCUCCCUUGACUUCUUCCAGUGUCAUCCCAGAUUCAUCACUAGAAUCUAUUUGUGACUUCUGAUCAAGAAUUGCAAAUAUUGAAGCAGUAGCACUUUUUGCAUUAAUUAAAUCUGGGACCAAGGUCCCUAAUUGAGAGACUCCCGAAGCUGCCAUGCCGAGAGCAAAAAUUACCUACAAAUCAGGAAUCAAAACCAUCAAUGCUAGAAAAAUGUGCAAGGUCAAAUUUUCGUUUCUUCAUCUUUUUUAGCUUUUCAUUGUUAUACCCUUUUUGUGUUGUUGUUGUUGUUGUUAAUGCUGAAUGUAUAAGGUGAUUUUCAUUUUUACGUGAUGGUAAGAAAAAGUUGUUUGCGGCAUCUUUAUUGGUUAGAGAUCGUUGUUUAUACUGAGUAAUUAUACUUCAUACUGCAAUUUUUUGUAUUGAGUCUGUGUUUUUUAUUUCUUACACCGAACGAGUUUUAUGUUUCAAAAAUUUGGUAUCACUCUCUGCUAUUUAGUUUUUUUGUCUAAUUUUUGUAGCUAUAUAUUUGCAUGUAUUAUUAUUUCCUUUGCCAAUGCUAAUUAAUAGUAAAUAAUUGUGAAAGUGAUAGAAUGUAUGUAGUUGCGAACAAGUAAGAGGAGUAACUUACAAGGAAAACAUCUGAGAAUGUGGAUUUACCAUCCUCUACGAGUCGAGCUCCAGCAUAGAAACAACAGGCAUAAACUGCAUACAACAGGAAGCAUGAUAAACCAAAACCUAAUCCACUUAUUAUCCCUCGCCUUAUGCCUUUCUUAAUUGGUCCCUCACAUUUUUGCUCAUAUAAUUCCAUCACCUUCUCUUCAGCACAGAAAGAAGAAACUGUUCUUAUACACCCUACCGCAUCAUUUGCCACUUGACUUGCUUCCUCGUACAAUUUCUGUUAGGCAAAAAAAGUAUCAGGAUAUUGACAAAAUAACAUUUAACCGAGUCAAAAAUGCACACAGAGCACAUGCUUGUAACACUUUUGAUUCAUGCUCAUAAAGUAUGAUGCUAAAAAAUGUAGAAAGAUAUUGAUCUUAUUACUUUUAUCUAGAUUUGUCAUAACACUUUGCAUAAAGUAAAAAAAAAGAAAAAAAAUUCAUAUUCGUUUACAAUAUUAGUUGUUGGGUUGAUAGAAGUCGCUAACAAACCUUUGCAUCUGCGCUGAAUCCUUUCAAGAACUUUACUUGAACAUAUCCAUCUAGUCCUAAUAGAGGCGCUAAAGCAAGGACUAUAAAAGCAAGCUGCCAGCUCGCUUCAAAAGCAAUUACCAAGCCAGUUAUUGAUGUAGCAAUAUUUUCAGCCAACAGACCAAGUGCAUCCCCAACCAGAGCUCUAACCAAAGCUGCAUCUGUGGAGAGCCUUGCUCCAAGUGCUCCGCUUGAAUGCUCAACCUCAUCAAACCAAUUUACUUCCAUGUAAACUACUUUCUCGAAACACAUUUUUCGGAUUCUUUGGAUCAACUUACCUCCAGCAAUGCCAAAAAAGUAGUAUCUACAUGGAAUAACUAGUAAUGAUGCCACACCAACCGCUACAAACACCAUUGCCCAAACUUUUGAAUCAUGACGAAGUUCAUCAGCUGGUUUGUAGAAAAUACUUAUCAUUUUAGAAAUCAAGAGCCCAAAAGUGGGCAUUAUUGCUCCAUUCAGCACUGCAGCUAUAGUACCCAUCAAUAAGACUGAAAUCUCAGGCUUGUUAAAAUAUGCCAGGCGAUAAAGUGGCACUUCUGGUGGUGAAGAAACUGUUGAAAGAGAAGCUUGAGGUCCACCAUCUGCAGUCUCUAAGAAGCCAUCUGUUGUGGGUGCACCACAUGAUGCUGAAAAAGAGUGACGACCACUGUUUCCAGAUGACACUUGCCUUAUGAAUCUUGAGGAUAAAGAUAUUUCACUUGAUCGUUUUUCAGAUAGCAUUAUACUGUUUGAUUUAUUUGAGUCAUUGGCAACAUUUUGUUCUGACCCCUUCAUUUCUUGCAGUCUAAUUAGCUGGCUAUAGGCACCAUUAGCAUCCUUGGUGAGCUCGACAUGUGAACCUAACCAAUUGAAAAAUAUAAGAAUGCUAUUAUGUACAAAAACAUUUGGGCUUCAUGAUUUCUAUUAAUUUUGAGUCAUGGAGAAACAGGAUUAUUGUCACAAAAUAAUGUUUCUACCUCGUUCAACUAUUUUUCCUUGACGAAUGACAGCAAUGGUAUCAACAUUUCUGAUUGUACUUAAGCGGUGAGCUACGACGAUUGUCGUCCGGUUUAUCAUUAUUCUUUCCAAUGCCUCUUGUACAAUUCUCUCAGAUUCUGCAUCAAGGGCACUUGUAGCUUCAUCAAGAAGUAAGAUUCUUGGGUCUUUCAAAAUUGCUCUUGCAAUUGCAACUCUUUGCUUUUGUCCUCCAGAGAGUUGUAUUCCAUGCUCACCAACCAUCGUGUCUAGUCCCUGAGAUCAUAAUCUAUAAUUUUACAAAAUUAUCGUUUCUUUUGAAAUGAAAGAUUUGAGAAUUCACCUGAGGGAGUUUGUCUAUAAAUUUGGCAGCAUUAGCAAGUUCCGCUGCAGCUCUUAUUUCCUCAACAGUUGCCCCAUCCUUGCCAUAGGAAAUAUUCUUCUUAAUGCUACAAGUAAAGAGAACGGGUUCCUGGCUGACUAGGCCUAUUUUCUGUCUGAUCCAUUUCAGAUUAAAUUCUUUGAGGCUGAUACCGUCAAUGAGAACUUCACCAUUUGUUGGAUCAUAGAAUCUCUCUAUUAAACUGAUGACUGUAGAUUUCCCACUCCCACUUUGCCCUACCAAAGCUGCAGUGGUGCCGCUUUGUAAUGAAAGAGAAAAUCCAUCGAAUAUCAGUUCAUCUGGUCUUGUAGGAUAACUAAAGCACACCUCUAUAAGCUCUAUGUCUCCGCGAAUAUCAUCAAGCUUUCUCCCAGUAGUUUCAUAAGCAUCAAUUUCUGGCUUCCUUUUUAUUGUUUCAAACAUCUUAAAGGCUGCAGCUUGUCCUGCAGCAAAAGCACUUAGGCUUGGAGAUGUUUGCCCAAGACACCUGGGGUUGGAAACAGAAAUAUAGUUAGGAGAAAAAGAAAAUAUGUUCAUAUCUUACGAGUUCUCGAUAGGGGGAAGAAAUUAAUUUUAGAAAGUCUAGUAUCAUAUUAAGGAACAGAAAGCGACACAAAUCUGAAGUCUUACAUUGAACCAGUCAAUAUUGCAAAUAGUACAGUCAUAACAUCGCCUCCUGUAUAUCCUUUCUCUAUUAUCAAUUUCCCACCAAACCAUACAGCCAAACUGUAACUGGAGAUAAAAACAAAAAAGAUUGUAGCAAACCCCACACCAGAUGCUAGUGCCUCUUGCACUGUAGUAUUGUAAACCUUGAUUAAGGAAUGAUUAUAUUUUGUUGUAGCUUGUUUCUCCCCAGUGAAUGAUGCAACCUGUAUUUGAAAAAUCAAAGUUAUUUAUUUAAAUGGUAACAAAUUAAAAUAAAAAUGUUGAUAUUAUUUUUCGCCAGUAUGCAUACAGUUCGGAUGGAACCAAUUGUCUGCUCUACUAGACUUGCUGAUUCAGAAUAAGCUGCUUGUCCAGUUGAUGAUGCUUUUGCAAUAACCUUACUCGUCACAGCAGCAGACAAUACAAGAAGUGGUAUACUAAAUAGCAUGACAACAGUUAGAAGCCAUCCCUUAGUGAAUGCUAUGACAAAACCUCCUAUGAAAGUUGCCACAAACUGUAUAAACUGUCCCACCUGAAAUGAAAGAAGGGGGACAAUAAAGAACUUAAACUCUUUUUUAUGUAGUCGAGAAAAACAAAAAGGCAAUGAUUUCAGAUUGUAUGAUGGAAUGGUUCAUUGAUACCUUCUCCCCCAUGGCAUCUUUAAUAAGAACAGUGUCACCUGCCAUCCUUCCAACAACCUCUCCAGUGUUAGUUUCUUUAUCAAAAAAGCUCACAUCUUGCCUCAAAAUUGUUUUAAGGUAUAAGCCUCUAAUUCUUGCACUCUGUCUCUCCCCAGUGAUCAUCCAGCAAGUUACCUCUAGUACAUAGCAAACAUGGUUUAUUUGGGGUCAUAAUGCACCACAGUAAUAAGAUAGACUGUACAAAUUAACUGCGAAACUAAUGUACUUACGCAAACAUGACGCAACAAAGCUACCCGCCGCCAGGUAUACAAAUUUCAGAGACACCUGACCACAGUAAGUCGUCGUUAGUAAAUUUUUAAAUGUUUGAUUUAAAGUUGUUACAACCUAGUGGUUUGGUUGUGAGGACAUUUUAUGUGAAAUUUCGGGUUCAAACCCAGGUCACCACAUUCCCCCUUCCUACAUGUGUUUAUUUGAGUAUAUGUUGACCACUACGCCAAUAGAAAAAGAAGUAGGGUGUACCAGAUGAAAAAGCUUCACCAAAUACAUGAGAUUAGUUAGAAAAUUACCUUGGAGACUUCAUCAACAACUUUUGACGUUGUGGAUUCUCCGAAUGCAUUGAUCAUAGUUCCAAAUAUUAAAACCAUCAAGGGUAAAGAGAUUCCAUUCCCAAUAGCACCUACAGUCCCCAUAAGCAUCAAUAAACAAUCCAAAGGAUCAGCAAAUGAGAAAAGCUUGUAUAAGGAUACUGUGUUGGUGAUUUCAUCUUUGUCCUUGCUCUUCUCUGAAUCUUGCUUUCUGUCUUCAUCUUCAACUGGUUGAAGACUCGCAAUAUCUCCUUCCAAACCCGUCGCCAUUUUCUUGAAGGAAGACUUGUUUUGCUUAAAACCACCUCUGCCAGUGACUGUAAAUUCAAAACAGUUGCAGAAAAAUAAUUCCAAUUUCAAGUUAGUAAGAGAACAAGAUAGUGUUCUUCAAAGUUUAAUAUUAUUUUUUCAUGGUUUGUCUUGUUGUUUAUGCCUUUAGUUUGUAAAGAAGAUUACGGCUUCUCCUCGUUUUAAAAAAGUGGUAGUGUAAUAGGUUGAUGUAUGCAAAAUUUCUAGUUCAUAAUAAUAUAUAUUCAAAUCAUGUUGUACUGGUAAAAUUAUUUUAAAUAGAUUAAUUGAAAAUGACAUCUACACAUUUCUUGAACUGCAAGUUUACUACAGUAUCAUCCAGAUUGUCUUUUGUUUUUUCUAUUUAGAUGUCUAUUCCAAAUUAAUAAAUUUAUGUUGAGUUUGAAAGUUCGAAUAUUGAAUAUAAUAUAUUUAAUGAUUUGUGUUAUUGAUCAAUGUGAAGGGGCAAGCCAGUAGUGUGUCUGAAGCAAUUUACGGGUGGGACCAAUUUUUGCCUAGUAAACGUACCAAUAUAUAUAUAGGGUUCCGCUAACGAGUGCUCCGAGGGAAAAGAAAUUAAUCAGAAUAAUUUUUUUAUUAAAAUGAGAAGUUGUAAGUAGUUUUGGACAGAAAAUAAUCCAAUUUUAAUGAGUGUUGUAGAUAAGAGAAAAGAUUAAUAACAGUUUGCUAAAAUUGAUUUAUAAAAUAUAUUUUAAAAACUAAAAACUAAAACUCAUUCAAACAGGCCCUGAAUGUGGCAUGAAGUCAAAUAAUACACUGUCUUGAGAUAUGUAUUGAAGCAACAACUUAUAGUUAUAACUUAUAAGAAGAUGGAGUCAUAUUUUGAUGAUUGUUGGUUCUCUUAGGAUCUUGUCUCCAUUCAGAUGCAUCCCCACCCUUUUUGCCAAAAAUCAUUUCAUCAAGAUCAUCCAUCAUGUCAUCAUGGCUCAAUCCCUGAACACCAGUUCUUGAACAAGCUGGCUUUCUAAUCAAGGCCUCUUCUCUAAAAUGAGGCGACUCAUCUGGUUCAAUCGUAACAGGUAUCAUCAUAUUCUGUUCUGGUUCAAGUGGAGAAGCUUUAGGCUUCUUCUUCAACUCUUCAUAUUUGGAGAGAACCUUAUGAAUCUCAUCAUUUACAUUCAAGGCCUCACAGAGCAAUGCUUCAUUUUCGCCAACAGUCGCAAUGAUUCUAUGGACGGUAGAUUGGGACUGAUGGCAUUGUUGUACUAAUGUAAUGGUCAAAUCUUGCUGCAUAUUGAAGAAAAUAAUUUGGUCAGGAAAAGGAUACAUUGUGUGAACAUAAAACAAAAAUUGAUAUGCAGUAGUACUAGUUGUUAUUAACACGGCUAGAACAACUUAAAUUCUAUGUAUAUAUAGAAGGUUUUAGUCCAAAGUAUAUUAAUGUCAAACUGAAUAUGAGAGCAUAUAUAGAUAGGAACAUAAAAAUGUCAGUACUAGUUAGUAGUGCAGCACAAGAAAAGCAAAAUAAAAUACCUUAAGAACAUUUUGCUGAGGUGAAGAAGAUAACACAGAAGAGAGAAGCUCAGUGCUAUUUCUUGCAACAUCAAAAGCUUCCUUUGUUUGUUCAGGCUUGAGACUCGGCACAGGAUUUUCACGCUGAAUAAGAUGUGCAAGACUGCGAUCAAGCUGAGUAUCGUGCUGAAUAAGAUGUCCAAGACUGUGAUCAAUCUCUGGUGCAGAGGGAGCGUGAUAAUGAGUUAAAAUAGGAGCCGAGCUUUCAUUGUUACGACCAGGGAACCGAAUGCCCCUUGAUUUCAAACUCUGCAACAGAAAAUGUAUAUAAAACCAUUCAUACUCUGGAGUUGGUUCAUGAAAAUCAAAGUUUCUAUGACCAAGUAAUAUGGAAAACGAUUAAUGUUGCUUCCCUGUCUUUAUCCACAUCUUAUAGCUUAAGUUCAGACAUUAGUUCAUAACAAAAAGUGAAAGAAUUUCAGAAACAAAAGAUAUCACAC